rnacentral:sRNA from 1 species
AGUAACAUCAAUCCGCUUGGGUUGCGGCGC